rnacentral:rRNA from 1 species
GCAUAUCAAUAAGCGGAGAAAAAGAAACUAACAAGGAUUCCCCUAGUAACUGCGAGUGAAGCGGGAAAAGCUCAAAUUUAAAAUCUGGUGGUCUUCGGCCAUCCGAGUUGUAAUCUAGAGAAGCGUUACCCGCGUCGGACCGUGUACAAGUCUCCUGGAAUGGAGCAUCAUAGAGGGUGAGAAUCCCGUCUUUGACACGGACUACCGAGGCUUUGUGGUACGCUCUCAAAGAGUCGAGUUGUUUGGGAAUGCAGCUCAAAAUGGGUGGUAAAUUCCAUCUAAAGCUAAAUAUUGGCGAGAGACCGAUAGCGAACAAGUACCGUGAGGGAAAGAUGAAAAGAACUUUGGAAAGAGAGUUAAACAGUACGUGAAAUUGCUGAAAGGGAAACGCUUGAAGUCAGUCGCGUUGUCCGGAAAUCAGCCUUGCUUUUGCUGGGUGUAUUUUCUGGUUAACGGGCCAGCAUCAGUUUUGACCGGUGGAAAAAGUCUAGAGGAAUGUGGCAUCUUCGGAUGUGUUAUAGCCUUUGGUCGUAUACAUCGGUUGGGACUGAGGAACUCAGCACGCCGCAAGGCCGGGUCUUUGACCACGUACGUGCUUAGGAUGCUGGCAUAAUGGCUUUAAUCGACCCGUCUUGAAACACGGACCAAGGAGUCUAACAUGCCUGCGAGUGUUUGGGUGAAAAACCCGGACGCGUAAUGAAAGUGAAAGUCGAGAUCCUUGUCAUGGGGAGCAUCGACGCCCGGACCAGAAGUUUUCUGACGGCCCUGCGGUAGAGCAUGUAUGUUGGGACCCGAAAGAUGGUGAACUAUGCCUGAAUAGGGUGAAGCCAGAGGAAACUCUGGUGGAGGCUCGUAGCGAUUCUGACGUGCAAAUCGAUCGUCAAAUUUGGGUAUAGGGGCGAAAGACUAAUCGAACCAUCUAGUAGCUGGUUCCUGCCA